GACAAAUUUCAGCGGAACACCUGUAAACAAUGCGCGUGUGAGGUGCGCCCUGCCUCUUUUUUACAGCCUACUUCCUGGUGGACGAGCCUGCUCCUUGCUUGGUGCUGUCGUAGUAAAGAGCAGAGGGGGCAGCUGAAGACAAGGUAGGCACGGCUGUCUGUGGCUCUGCAGUCGACAACAACCAGUCAGUUACUAAGUUAGGAAGUUUAUCACCGGUUUUUGUCUCGCUCUUUUAAAAAACAAGAAGAAAAAUGGGAAGCACGUUGAUGGAAUCCAGCAAGGGGAGUUCAAAGAAAAUACCAAAAAAGAGAAGAGGUCUGCGGAUUAACAUGCCAGACUUUGGUGAUUUUACUGCCCCUAAAGUGGAGACCAGCGGCUCAACCAAAAGUGGCACUCAGACGGGGGAGCGUCUCAUUCGUUCAGCCAGCCCCACCAAAGGAGAUGCUGCAAAGAACCCGGCCAGCAGGCCCUCAACGCCCCACUCUGCUCCGGUGCCAUCAAAGGCCAUUUCAGCUUCACCCAAAACCAUCUUCCCUUAUCCCUCCCAUCAGAAUGCCUCACCCAAGUCCCCCCGUCGCCUCAGCUUCAGUGGUAUCUUCCGGUCCAAUUCCACAUCUACAAGCAUGAAAAUCUUCUCCAGAACCAAGAGAGCUUCUGGACUUUCCACGAAUCCCUCCACUCCGACCCAGGCAUCCAGCCAACCUGUGUUCAGCCAGGAGGCCCAGCAGCAGAGUGGCCCCAGCCCAGAAUGCCUGGAGCCCGGUUCUCGAAGCCACUCCGUGUCCACGCCCCCGGACACAGGACAGCGCCUCAGCCUUCCUUACACUAAACCCCCGAUCCCAUCAACCAGUCCUUUGCUAUCCUUCUCUACCUCACAACAUGUCUACGGCUUAUUCGAAGGUAUGCUGGAGAAACUUGAACUAGAUGAUGAUGCUGCUGAGCCCGAGAGUGAUAUUUACAUGCGCUUCAUGAAAUCCCACAAGUGCUACGACAUCGUUCCCACAAGCUCCAAGUUGGUUGUGUUUGACACGGCGCUCCAAGUUAAGAAGGCGUUCUUUGCCUUGGUGGCCAACGGUGUACGAGCUGCUCCUCUAUGGGACUCAGAGAAGCAAAGCUUUGUGGGAAUGCUAACAAUCACAGAUUUCAUCAUCAUACUGCACAGAUACUAUAAGUCACCAAUGGUGCAAAUUUAUGAAUUGGAGGAACACAAGCUUGAGACGUGGAGAGAGGUUUAUCUUCAAGCAACGUUUAAACCUCUUGUGAACAUAUCACCAGAUGCAAGUCUGUUUGAUGCAGUGUACACCCUCAUCAAAAAUAAAAUUCACCGCCUGCCUGUCAUCGAUCCUGUUACUGGAAAUGCACUUUAUAUUCUCACACACAAGAGGAUCCUAAAGUUCCUCCAGCUGUUUAUGUGUGAAAUGCCAAAGCCAGCUUUCAUGAAGCAGACCCUAGGUGAGCUCGGCAUUGGGACGUACCAUGAAAUCGCUUUCAUCCACCCAGACACGCCCAUCAUUAAAGCACUCAACAUCUUCGUGGAGAGACGAGUGUCUGCUCUGCCUGUGGUGGAUGACUCAGGCAAAGUUGUGGAUAUUUAUUCCAAGUUUGAUGUGAUUAACUUGGCUGCGGAGAAGACAUACAAUAACUUGGACAUCACAGUGACGAAGGCUCUGAAACAUCGCUCGCAGUACUUUGAAGGAGUUGUUAAGUGCCACAAAAUGGAAACGAUGGAGACCAUUGUGGACAGGAUAGUCAAAGCAGAAGUUCAUCGGCUGGUGGUGGUGGAUGAGCGCUCCAGUAUCGAGGGCAUUGUUUCCCUUUCAGACAUCCUCCAGGCACUGGUGCUCAGCCCAGCAGGUAUAGAUGCUCAGCAUUGGUAGCCAUAAUCCCCCCUCUCAUUGUCCCGGACCCCGAGCUUUACCCUACCCAUGAAUCCUCUAACCCUGCCCCAGAUGCCUGUAAGGAGGAGAACCUGACUGAAUGAGUUUGCGGUGCAUCAGCUUUUGUAGUGGACGUGAAUGAAUUUACAGUUUAAUGUCGAUGGUGUGAAGCUGGUGUGAAAGUCCUGGAGGCCGCCGCCAUCAUUGGGCUGGAGUGGUUUGGAAAGGCCUAGAACAGCUGAGUGAAGUGGAGUUUUUUGCACUGAGGAAUGAUUUUAUUUUUUUUUCUUCCAGUUUGUUUAAACACUGAUCAGACACACACACGUUACAGAUAUAUUAUAAACUAUAUGCAAACACAUGCAGAUGAAUGCAUUUUGGCACCCUUAUGUGCUUCAAGUGGUUACAAUGAUACAGCUGUCAUCAGAUGAUUUAAUUACAUUUUAACAUCCAUUAAAACAACUUGUUUUAGCAGCACAACUACCCUCUUAACCACAGAGAUUGGAUGACUGCUGUCAUUAAGGAGAAUAAUUGCCAGUGCCAACAUAAAAUCUCUCAUUGCCUAGUUAUUUGUGCCUUUUUGCAGCCCCUGUCCCCAUUUCACUGUGCUCCUUUGAGUUUACGGUUUCAAGUGAAAACUGUUGGGUUAUUGAAAAACACGUAUGAAAUAAAGGAUUUCUGGAAGGUCAGACAUGCACAGGAAAGAGGAGAAAUGUUUUUGGAUCAUUUUGUGUUGGUUUCUCAGGUGGUGUGACUUCAGAGUGCAUUUUUUUGUAAUGGAAAUUUAAGAUUGAAAAAUGUAUUUUUAGGGGUUUACAGAGAUUUUGUAUCCAGUUUAGAGGUUUCACACAAACAUGCGGAGCUGCUCAUGUGUUUCAGCUGGAUCUCAACAAGAUUCAUCUCCAUCUUCUGUAAAUGAGAUUGUUCUCAGAAACCAUGCCACAGAAGGCUUUAUUUUUAUGAAUGUGUUAAUAUAUCUAAAGAUAUUUCAGCUUUAAUGUUAUUUUUGUAAAUAUGUUGUGGCAAUAUGCCUAAUUCAGAGAAACUUUGUAUCGAAUCAACAUGUACUGUAAAUGUACAAAGCAUGACAAAAUACACUUCAGCAGAAUGAAUGUUCUUUGUUUUACUUUUUCUAUUUUUCUGGCUGCAGAAAAAUAAAACAGACACUGAAUGUA